CUAAACCUAUCGGCAAAUGUUUUAGAUUCGUCAAAUAAUCGAAACCAAAUAACAAGAAGUUUUCAAGCUUAAGUAAAUUGUGGCAGGUCUCUUUCAAUUAAAGAAUGAGACAGCAGUUGAUGCGAGCAAGGAUUUUGUUAAUUAGAGUAUACGAGUUGAUAGUUCCUGGUGAGCCCCGCACUUGUCCGCGUGGGCGAAGAGUUUAUUUUUUUCGUCUUCUCUUAUCAACUCAUAAAGUCGCUCCAUAGUCAUUCUUUUAGUGUCUUGAGUAUUCUUUCAUUAUCAUAGACUUAUGAUGAGUAUUGCACUUUCUUAUCGAAUUUGGAGAUAAAUUAGUAGUUGUGGUUGUUAGUGGGUUGAUCAUAAUGGUUGAGACUUGUUCUGGUUAAUGGAUAAAGUUAUUGUUGGCUGGAUUGA